UACGAAGGGGGCUAGCGUUGCUCGGAAUCACUGGGCGUAAAGGGCGCGUAGGCGGCCGUUCAAGUCGGGGGUGAAAGCCUGUGGCUCAACCACAGAAUGGCCCUCGAUACUGGAUGGCUCGAGACCGGAAGAGGUUGGUGGAACUGCGAGUGUAGAGGUGAAAUUCGUAGAUAUUCGCAAGAACACCAGUGGCGAAGGCGGCCAACUGGUCCGGUUCUGGACGCUGAGGCGCGAAAGCUAGGGGAGCAAACAGG
rnacentral:rRNA from 1 species